rnacentral:rRNA from 1 species
CCUACGGGAGGCAGCAGUGAGGAAUAUUGGUCAAUGGCCGCGAGGCUGAACCAGCCAAGUCGCGUGAGGGAAGACGGUCCUACGGAUUGUAAACCUCUUUUGUCGGGGAGCAAAAGACGCCACGCGUGGCGCUCCGAGAGUACCCGAAGAAAAAGCAUCGGCUAACUCCGUGCCAGCAGCCGCGGUAAUACGGAGGAUGCGAGCGUUAUCCGGAUUUAUUGGGUUUAAGGGGUGCGCAGGCGGAAGAUCAAGUCAGCGGUAAAAUUGCGGGGCUCAACCCCUUCGAGCCGUUGAAACUGGUUUUCUUGAGUGAGUGAGAGGUAGGCGGAAUGCGUGGUGUAGCGGUGAAAUGCAUAGAUAUCACGCAGAACUCCGAUUGCGAAGGCAGCAUACCGGCGCGCAACUGACGCUCAUGCACGAAAGUGUGGGUAUCGAACAGGAUUAGAUACCCGGGUAGUC